CAGCCGCCGCGGUAAAACGUAGGUGGCAAGCGUUGUCCGGAAUUAUUGGGCGUAAAGGGCUCGCAGGCGGUUUCUUAAGUCUGAUGUGAAAGCCCCCGGCUCAACCGGGGAGGGUCAUUGGAAACUGGGAAACUUGAGCGCAGAAGAGGAGAGUGGAAUUCCACGUGUAGCGGUGAAAUGCGUAGAGAUGUGGAGGAACACCAGUGGCGAAGGCGACUCUCUGGUCUGUAACUGACGCUGAGGAGCGAAAGCGUGGGGAGCGAACAGGAUUAGAUACCCCUGUAGUCCCUGUCUCUUAUAC
rnacentral:rRNA from 1 species